rnacentral:rRNA from 1 species
AGAGUUUGAUCCUGGCUCAGGACGAACGCUGGCGGCACGCUUAAAACAUGCAAGUCGAACGUGAAGCCCGGGCUUGCCCGGGUGGAAAGUGGCGAACGGGUGCGUAACACGUGAGCAACCUGCCCCGAAGACCGGGAUAACACCGGGAAACCGGUGCUAAUACCGGAUGUCUUCACCAUGUCGCAUGGCGAGGUGAAGAAAUGGAUUCCGCUUCGGGAUGGGCUCGCGGCCUAUCAGCUUGUUGGUGGGGUAACGGCCUACCAAGGCAACGACGGGUAGCUGGUCUGAGAGGAUGUCCAGCCACACUGGGACUGAGACACGGCCCAGACUCCUACGGGAGGCAGCAGUUAGGAAUCUUGCGCAAUGGGCGAAAGCCUGACGCAGCGAUGCCGCGUGCGGGAUGAAGGCCUUCGGGUCGUAAACCGCUUUCAGCAGGGACGAUAGUGACGGUACCUGCAGAAGAAGCCCCGGCCAACUACGUGCCAGCAGCCGCGGUAAUACGUAGGGGGCGAGCGUUGUCCGGAUUUAUUGGGCGUAAAGAGCUCGUAGGCGGUUUGGUAAGUCGGGUGUGAAAUCUCCACGCUCAACGUGGAGGGGCCACUCGAUACUGCCAUGACUCGAGUCCGGUAGAGGAGUGUGGAAUUCCCGGUGUAGCGGUGAAAUGCGCAGAUAUCGGGAGGAACACCCGUAGCGAAGGCGGCACUCUGGGCCGGAACUGACGCUGAGGAGCGAAAGCGUGGGGAGCAAACAGGAUUAGAUACCCUAGUAGUCC